rnacentral:rRNA from 1 species
GCUCAGGAUGAACGCUAGCUACAGGCUUAACACAUGCAAGUCGAGGGGCAGCAUGGUCUUAGCUUGCUAAGGCCGAUGGCGACCGGCGCACGGGUGAGUAACACGUAUCCAACCUGCCGUCUACUCUUGGACAGCCUUCUGAAAGGAAGAUUAAUACAAGAUGGCAUCAUGAGUCCGCAUGUUCACAUGAUUAAAGGUAUUCCGGUAGACGAUGGGGAUGCGUUCCAUUAGAUAGUAGGCGGGGUAACGGCCCACCUAGUCUUCGAUGGAUAGGGGUUCUGAGAGGAAGGUCCCCCACAUUGGAACUGAGACACGGUCCAAACUCCUACGGGAGGCAGCAGUGAGGAAUAUUGGUCAAUGGGCGAGAGCCUGAACCAGCCAAGUAGCGUGAAGGAUGACUGCCCUAUGGGUUGUAAACUUCUUUUAUAAAGGAAUAAAGUCGGGUAUGGAUACCCGUUUGCAUGUACUUUAUGAAUAAGGAUCGGCUAACUCCGUGCCAGCAGCCGCGGUAAUACGGAGGAUCCGAGCGUUAUCCGGAUUUAUUGGGUUUAAAGGGAGCGUAGAUGGAUGUUUAAGUCAGUUGUGAAAGUUUGCGGCUCAACCGUAAAAUUGCAGUUGAUAUUGGAUAUCUUGAGUGCAGUUGAGGCAGGCGGAAUUCGUGGUGUAGCGGUGAAAUGCUUAGAUAUCACGAAGAACUCCGAUUGCGAAGGCAGCCUGCUAAGCUGCAACUGACAUUGAGGCUCGAAAGUGUGGGUAUCAAACAGGAUUAGAUACCCUGGUAGUCCACACGGUAAACGAUGAAUACUCGCUGUUUGCGAUAUACGGCAAGCGGCCAAGCGAAAGCGUUAAGUAUUCCACCUGGGGAGUACGCCGGCAACGGUGAAACUCAAAGGAAUUGACGGGGGCCCGCACAAGCGGAGGAACAUGUGGUUUAAUUCGAUGAUACGCGAGGAACCUUACCCGGGCUUAAAUUGCAGAUGAAUUACGGUGAAAGCCGUAAGCCGCAAGGCAUCUGUGAAGGUGCUGCAUGGUUGUCGUCAGCUCGUGCCGUGAGGUGUCGGCUUAAGUGCCAUAACGAGCGCAACCCUUGUUGUCAGUUACUAACAGGUUCCGCUGAGGACUCUGACAAGACUGCCAUCGUAAGAUGUGAGGAAGGUGGGGAUGACGUCAAAUCAGCACGGCCCUUACGUCCGGGGCUACACACGUGUUACAAUGGGGGGUACAGAGGGCCGCUACCACGCGAGUGGAUGCCAAUCCCCAAAACCUCUCUCAGUUCGGACUGGAGUCUGCAACCCGACUCCACGAAGCUGGAUUCGCUAGUAAUCGCGCAUCAGCCACGGCGCGGUGAAUACGUUCCCGGGCCUUGUACACACCGCCCGUCAAGCCAUGGGAGCCGGGGGUACCUGAAGUGCGUAACCGCGAGGAGCGCCCUAGGGUAAAAC